rnacentral:tRNA from 1 species
ACCUGGCUGGCUCAGCUGAUAGAGCAUGAGACUCUUGAUCUUGAGGUUGUGAGUUCAAGCCCCACACUGGGCA